GGUUGAUUGGUUUGGUAGAUUUCAUUUCUUUUUUCCUACUGUUGUUGGUGUUAAUUUUCUCGGUGGAUUUUCUUCUUGGCGUUUUUCAGUUUUAUCGAGCCGUAUGAUAUAGGCAACAGACACACAGUGCUAUGAUUGCGCGCCGAAAAGCAUGUUUCUUUUUUUUAAAGUUUGAUAUAGUUAUUUAUACGUACCGUUUGUAUCUUUUGAACGCGUUCUUGAACAACACGAAGAAAGCAGAGAAUGAAAAACAACCCACAACGUGUAGUGUACGCGAGCGAAAAGUAUCUCUUUGCUGCUGUCUGCAAUUGCUGAUUUCAAUUGAAUGGAAAAUCUAUGCGCUGUGACUGUACAGUGUGUGUACUUUUUCGAUUGUUGUUGUUGUUGUUGUUGGUAUGGCAGAGAGAACGUGGAAACGAAUACUCACCAGUUAAAUAAAAUACACGAGAGCAAAAGGAAGAAAAAAUGCACGACGUCACAACAUACACCGAUUACAACAAUAACGUCGCAUUUGGAAAAGGAGAAUGAGCACGGGCAAACCAAUAUUCAUAUGAACAACAACAAGAACAACAGCAGCAGCAGCAACAGCAGCAGCAAGGGAGGAAAAAACAACGUAUUUUAUAUGCACGCAAAUACCAUGUGCGGCGUCGGCGAUUUAAGCGUCUCGUUCGAAUUUCGAUGUGAUAUUUAUUGGUGUAUUGUAUCCAUGCGUGUCAGCGUGUACGUGUGCUCCCGCGUACGUGUGUAUGUGUAUUUGUGUAAGUCCGCGCGCAAACAGGAUUUUCCAUAUCUCUGGCUUGCGCUGGUACACAUUGCUGCAUAAAGGUAAACGACGACGACGAGGACAACGAUGGCAGCGGAGGUGGUGGCGGACCGUUCGUAUUCAUCCCCAACUCAAUUUCUCCACUUUUCCAAGCGCCCGUAAGCGUGCAUACCUCAAUUUUGUUAGUGUACUCUCUUUUUUUUCUGCUGCUCGCCUCUCGAAUUCGCUUUAUGAUGACUGCUAACGAUUGUAAUCGACAUAUAAACAAUAAUAUAUCGAUAUAUGAUACAUUCAGUUCGAUUGCUGGCGCUUGCACACUUUCGACGGCACAAAGGAGAAAGAGAGAAAAGGAAGAACGAACAAAUGUAAAACGGAACGGAAGCCAAUACCACCAAAAAGAAGAAUGUAAAUAGAGUAGAGAAUUGGAAAACUACCGGAACAAUGUGAAAAUCGAUGUUGAAAGUUCAAAUGGAACAUUUUAUUGAUUAACUGUGUGGUAUUUGCGAGGCUAAAAACUAUAUACAACUCAUGGAUGUGCAACGCAUUUCGUUGUCAUUUCCAACCAUUUUCUCCGCAGAACGAGUUGGCUACGGCCAGUGCGGGCAAUAAAAAAAUAAAGUUACGAUCAACCUUUAUACGAAAUAAAAAACUCCAUAUGUUAUUCGCUUUGUAAAUUACAAUUCGAAUUGAUUGAA